UUGAGUGUCAAGCCUUACAAUCCAAUAUAGAAAGCUAUCUUAUACAAAUAAUGUAAUAUUAUUGUAUUUAAAUAUUGAUUUAAAAUGUAAAGUAAAAUUCAGAAGACUUAAACAAAGUCCUAAAAACAAUCAAACAACUAAAUUAGUGCAAGUAGAGCUGAUUUAUUUACCAAAACACAAUAUAAUCAUCUUCAUUAAAGCUUUGUAUAUUCCAAUUAAUUUACAAAUGUAAGUGUUUAAAAAUUAGAGAUAGGUUUUGCCGGUUGUUGAUGAGUGAUGAAUACCAGCUGUGAAUUUUCUCAACGCGUGUAAGCAGCCACGACACAGGAAACCGAAACAGUGUUCCAAUAUAAAGUGAGGGUCCUUGACAGUGGCCGAACCCGCAUACUACAGGAUAUAAUGAUUCCCCACCUCGGGAGCUAUAGGGAACGAAUUGAGACACAGCCCUGGAUGUAAUCACGUCUGUGCUGAUCACGUGCCUGUACACAAACCCGCAGCUCACUUGCAAAAGAUUAUCCGGUUAUUUAUUACACGUAAAGUAAACGUUUUUAAUGUUAUCAUGAAUCAAUGUUAUAGUUUUGUAUGUCACAUUAUUUUUUGAGAAGAGUCAUGACUGAACGCGGACCUUACACGCUGUUAUUUUUUUGUGUGCGUAUGGCCAAGGUACAGUGCGCUCUUUUGCACUAUGACCAGCCAUCAGUAAAUCGAAAUACAGUAAAAAAAAAUGAGCGCGAAACCCUGACACUUUACAGAAAGGCACGGAUAUCCCCGCCCGAAGAAAAAAAGAGCACAGGACAAUGGUUGCAAGUUAAACAGCUGAACAUUUCACCAUCUGCAAAGAACAUUUCACCAUCAACAUAUUAACAUAAACGGUUCUCUUUUUCUUGUUUGACUGCGUUUGGUACAGGUCACAACAACGACGGCAGAUGUAGAGACCACGCUUUCCCUUGCUUCCACUCCACGGCUGAUCAUGCUUGAGGAUCCAGAUCUACAAAACAAAAAAUGGAUGCUGCCGAUUGAAGGCUAAGUCCGCUUUCCUGCGAUUGACCUACCAUUUCUUCAGCAUUUGCUGUUCACUUUGGUUGCUACUACGUGCUCAACAUCGAGUACCAUGUGCAAGCAGCCACUACUUUGGAGUUUAUUCAGAGAUUUAUUGUGAGGAUCAGCCCCGACAACAGCAAGUGCUCCUCUAACUUCCAGGUGAGCAAAAGAAGUGGGAAGAUGGUGCAAAGGAAGAACUCUGGCCUGAACCAUCAUGUAUAUAUCCACCUUUAUUAAGGACUUUAUGAAUUAAGCAAAACUAUUAAGCAACUAAAGCAAAUACAUUCUACUCAACUCACCAGAGACGGUUUCAUCGGACGCACAUGACACACGUCUGGAUCCGAUCCUUACUUCCGGUUUCGCUUUUUUAAUGGUCUGACUAGUUGCUAAACUGAUCUCUUGAAAAAAAGCCUCGUUGAAAAUAACAAAUGUUUUGGUUUCCGAGCUAAUCUAUGUGUUGUUUUUUUGCUUGUUAUAUAAAUAAAAUGCGUUUAAAGAACUUUGUUGUUUUUUAUUCUUAGCGGAGUUUAUCGGAAGUUCAUGCGGACCGCGACAGCCGCUUGUUUAUGAUGUUACUGCUGAAACCGUCUAUAGUUAUAACUGAAUUUGUACUAGUAUUAUUUGAUAAUACUGUGAAAUGAAACAGUGAGUAAAUGUUACAUUGGCUUUGAAAAAGCUGUUGCUGCAAGAAAUUACAAUUUACUCAGAAUAAUAUUUUGAAUGUAUAAGUUUUUGACAUUGUUUAUGACUGCAUUUGAAUGUAUUGUUCAUGAAUUGAUGCUGUGAUAUGUGUGUGUAAAUGUUUUGUAUUUUACUCAGGAAAGUAUUUUGUAUUUGAACAUUGUUAUUAUGACUGAGUUAGUUCAUGACUUGAUUUAAAAUUCUGUAAUAUGAUAUCUAUGAGUAAAUGUUAUUGCAGGUUUAAGAAAAACAGUUUGUGAUGCAAGCUGAAAGUUCAGUGUGCAAAAAAUAUGAAAAUCUGAUUUCAUGUAUUUGAAAAACUAAAAGAAAUUUUAAAAACAUGUUGUCAUUGCUUAUUUUUGUUAUUUACUUAGAGCUGUUUUAACACCUCCAUUUAAAUUUUGUGCAGUUUUGUAGUAAAUAGAAAUGGGAAAAUGAA